CUUCCUGGCCAAACCGGACGUUCAGAUCUCUCAUCUCCGUGGAGGCCUUGAACUCCUCUACCACAAGACCCAUGGCCUCCGAGAUCAAGACCGAAAUCUGCUCCGUCAAAUUGGUGACCACGGCCUCCGCCUUUCUCGCCGUCCCUUCCAAGGUCUAUUUCUCUUCCUCCCAGGCUUGCUUUUCUCUCUCCAAGGCCUCUUGGAGGGCAACUACUUCAGCGGCCUUUUCCUUGAGGUGGGCGACUUCGGCCCGGCGAUGCUCCUCCGCCUGGGCGGCAUCCCUCCUCGCCCGAUUCAUCACCUUGAUGUUGGUGAGGAGUUGGUGCCCAAUCUGUAAGGACGGCUAAGGGAUCAAAACAAGGGUCGAAAAACUAAUUAAACGAAGAUUUGUUUACCUCGAGAAAGGACCCUAGGGAGUCCCAAACCUGCUGCUCGGGAUCGG
rnacentral:lncRNA from 1 species